ACGAUUGCUAUUGAUAACAGAAUCGAGGAUAGAUUGUAAAUCGUAUUUUUGUAAAACAUAAGUAUCGUGUGAAUGUUGCAACGGGGACAUUGUCUGUUUGCGGGUUUAUUAGUAAACAAACAAUUUAUUGUUACAGUUGCGGAUUGUAAUAAGUUUAAAUUGUAAAAUGGCAUCAGAUAAUAUUUAUAAAUCUAAUUAAAUAUGACGGAUAACGUAAAUAAAGUAAAUUUUAUGCAAAUUGUAAUUAUUGGCAGUUUUGGCAGUGAUUUAUGUUGGUUUUAAAGCUCUAGUGACCGAAUGCAAUCUUGCAGGAAGGUCAGAUUAUAAGUAUUGCUAUUGUUUAUUAUUUUCAAACAUAAAUUUAUGUUAAACGGAGAGGGCUCUGAAAACUGAAUGGAUCUUUGUAGGAGAGUAAUUUUUGUAUAAAAUUGGCUCUAGCAACUGAAUACGAAAUGUGGCCUUACUUAGAUUAUAUUUCGCUGUGUCGCCUAGAUGUGUUUCUGGUGGACUGCUCAUGUGGUUAGAAUUGCACGUGCUUAACGCGGUUUCCGUGGUUUGUGGAAUGCAUGUUUCGAAAACGAUGGAUUAAACAUUAUUCAAUUUUGAGUUUGUGUGAACAAAUGAAUAAUUAAAAUGUGUUGUUUCAUUUCAAUUCUAUGGUCAAUUAUUUGUUUUGGACAAAACACAAUUUAAUCUUAUGUUCUAUUCAACUAUUUGUAAAUUUGUAGGUACAAUUUAGUUUUUAUGUUAAUAAAUGUUUCCAUCAGGAUAAUAUAA